CCAUUUUUCUCCGCCGCUAAAGAAGAAGAGAAGAAUUGAUAGCUAGGUUUGCUCUCGUGUCUUCUCUUCUCUGCUACCAACUUGUUCGUCUCUUCUCGAUAUGUUGUUCUAUUAAUGGAUCUGUUCUAUGAACAAAAGUUUUUUUAGUUCAAUUCUUCUUUCGAUUUUGGUUCAUAAAACCAGAAUUCCUUCUUUCGAUUUUCGAUUUUGGUUAAGAACAUGGAGAAGAUUGAACUGUUGUUAAGUUCACGAAGAAGAAUUAAAGGGUUGUAGAAGACGGAGGAGCUUCUCAACAACCAUGUCAGCGAAAUAGGGAGAAGAACUAGAAAAUAGGGUUUCUGAGUGACAUAUAUAUAUAUGAUUUGUGCAGCGAAAUAAUGGGGGAAAAGAUGAAAUUGAAGAUGGAUUAAGCUCAAUUCGAGGUUAGAUUUGAUUUAGAAAGAAAAUUUUGAAUGAUGGGGUUAAUGAUGAAUGUUUACAAGUUCCAACUAUUAUCUCCGGUUCAGGUUAAUAAUUUUAAUGGAGUCGAAUUCAAUUGUUUUGGAAUAGCAUAGGGUGGUGAAGAUACAAAUUGAAAUGCUGUAGACCUCAAGUUUUUGCAGUAAAGACCAAUGUGCAGUCUCCUCAAUCAAGCCAACAAAAAGUUCUGAAGAGGAAGAGAAUGUUUAUUUCUAAUCAGUUCAGAACCUCCGGUUGACGGCUUGACGCUGAAACAGUAAAGAGAAUGAAGAAGUUAAUAGAAGAAACAUCACAUUCAGUAUCUUCGAGUGACAUUAAGAAGGAUUGCAAAUUUCGAGCUAAACAGGGGCAAUGUCUAAAGUUGUAAACACGGCCAAUUCACUGGAAAAGACUGAGGUAUCUGAUAGGGCUAUACGAACACCUCUAAAGAAGUUAGAAGAAGGUCCUAGUUUUGAGUAUUCAAAAGAUGUUAUUGAACCGAAGAUUCUCAACCAGAUAACUCAGUGGAAGGUUACUGGGACCUUGUUUGAUCUAUCAAAAUUAGGCUGUGGGAACAUCUACGUUGGAUGACCUGACGCACCAUUAGUUGGUGCACAUUUUGAGUCUGUAAUACAGACACACCAGUCAGCGCAUUUGUUCAGGAAAGAUAGUGAAUAAACUGGUUGCAGAUGUUAAUAGGAUGAAUGGGUUGGUAACAGAUCUCCAAAUGUUUGCUCUCAAGACGCUUCAGAUACCAUUACCAGGACGACAUCCCCCAUCCGCAAGCCUGUCAAAUGGGCAUCCUAGUCCAGGGACAUACAAGACUGUUACUUCAUCGACUGACGCGGAGAUCAGGAACAGUCCAUGAAUGGAAGAUGUUGGUAUAUAUGAAUGGGUGACUGAUAUACAGGUGCUUGUUUUUUUGAAUAUAAGGGAAUGGGAUGAUGCAUUUUUUUGUUUUCAUGCCAUCAGGGGUGUUUAAAGUUUGUCCCAAACUUUACACAGGCACUUUAGAUGUUUUUAAGCUUAGUUACUACCUUUUUGAACUCUCUGGGUGUUAUUCUAUUGCCCAGAUUUCUGAUUCAAAAACAAUAAUCUUACAUAUAUGCAAGUUUCAAUGUAAAACUUUGUUAUGAAUGCAAGUUUCUAUUAUUAA